ACCACCAUGUAGUCAAAAUAUGAUAUUCCUGAUGCCGCAAAAGGUUGGGUUCUGAAAAGACUUCGAGAAUCUUGGAGAAAGCAUAGAGCUGAUUUGAAGGAAGAUCAUUAUGAUCCAUAUCAAAAUGAUGAAGUUCAAAUGGCGAAUAGGCCGAAAAGUGUUCCAAAAUGUCAAUUUAAAGAGCUCCUCAUAUAUUGAAAGUCCGAAAAAUUUCAGAAAAUGUCCAAGACAUACUGAGAAUCGAAAGAAGCUAAUGGAUCCAUACACUGCUGGCAAAAAGAGUUUUACUUUAACUCGCGAUAAAUUAGUGUGUUCUCUUAUUGAGUUUUAACUUGUCAUUUAAGUAAUUUCUUAUAUUCAUUUUCAUAUGAAUAGGAAAAAGAGAAGGGGGAACUUUGUCGCUAAAGGAAAUGUUUGCGGCCACAAGAGCAAGAAAAUCUGAUCAUACAUACAAGACGUCAAAUGAAAGCAUCACUAGUAAAAUUCAGUCAUGGGUCCUGAACAUCCGGGAGGUGGUAAGACUGUAUGAAAGCACGGUUACAAAGACUUCUUUGAAAAGAAUAAAUGGCACUUCUGAACCAACUUUAAAUGCCACCAAUGAUGUCGUGCAACAAAUGCAAUAAAUGGAGGAUCAAAAGAGAACCAUUCGACAAGAAGUUAUUGCAGAUGUAAUUGCUCAACUUCAGAAUGCAGGAUUAAUUGAUUCUAAAAUACUAGCGGCGUUGUCCAUUCCUUCGCCAAGAGAAUCUACCUCUACACUAGCAGCUACAGGGAGAAACAGUCAAGGUUGGUGUUUGAAAUUCUGAAUUGCACCCCAGUUCAUUUGGUGCCGAUAUUGUUGGACUCUAUUGGAUGGUUAUCAGUGGCUGAUAAUUGUGUAUU